AGUCCCAAAGCAUAACAACACCAUACACAACAGAACAGAGUUCAAACACCCCCCAAAAAAUCGAAAAAACUUGCAAUGUCGAGAUCGGCCGUAGAGCUCAAUUUCUCCCGGAUGGAGAAAGAGAACUCCUCCAAGAAGUUCAUUGAUUGCCGAAGAAGCUUUCGAGAUAUUCAAAGUGUGAUUUCGAAGCUGAAUCCCCAGCUCCUGGAGACCGUGAUUGCAUCUGGCUCUGUCGAUCACACCUACAAUAAUGUUGCCAAAUCCUCCGAAAAUUGAAACUUGUUCUUGUCCUCCAAGUCUUCGUUUUCGGUUCCCUCCACUCCCCAAAAUGAAGACACUCUGGUCUUCUCUCCUGCUUUGCCUCUCUAUUCUCCUGCCUUCGGGAGCAAUGCCUCUGGUUGUGAACCAACUCCUGAAACGACCCCUCUGACGAUUUUCUACAACGGUUCCGUUACCGUUUUCGAUGUUCCGAGG